rnacentral:rRNA from 1 species
AACGAACGCUGGCGGCGCGCCUAACACAUGCAAGUCGAACGAGAAGGCGUAGCAAUACGCUUGUAGAGUGGCGAACGGGUGAGUAAUACGUGGGUGACCUACCCUCGAGUGGGGAAUAACCCGCCGAAAGGCGGGCUAAUGCCGCGUACGCUUCCGUCCUCACGGGGACGGAAGGAAAGCUGUACCGUGGGUACGGCGCUCAAGGAUGGGCUCACGUCCUAUCAGCUUGUUGGUAGGGUAACGGCCACCAAGGCUACGACGGGUAGCUGGUCUGAGAGGACGAUCAGCCACACUGGCACUGCGACACGGGCCAGACUCCUACGGGAGGCAGCAGUGAGGAAUAUUGCGCAAUGGGCGAAAGCCUGACGCAGCGACGCCGCGUGGGGAUGAAGGU